UACAGAGACUGCAAGCGUUAUUCGGAUUUACUGGGCGUAAAGGGCGCGUAGGCGGCACCGCAAGUCAGUUGUGAAAUCUCUGGGCUUAACCCAGAAAGGUCAACUGAUACUGCGGGGCUAGAGUGCAGAAGGGGCAACUGGAAUUCUCGGUGUAGCGGUGAAAUGCGUAGAUAUCGAGAGGAACACCUGCGGCGAAGGCGGGUUGCUGGGCUGACACUGACGCUGAUGCGCGAAAGCUAGGGGAGCGAACGGG
rnacentral:rRNA from 1 species